GAUGAACGCUGGCGGCGUGCCUAAUACAUGCAAGUCGAGCGAACGGACGAGAAGCUUGCUUCUCUGAUGUUAGCGGCGGACGGGUGAGUAACACGUGGAUAACCUACCUAUAAGACUGGGAUAACUUCGGGAAACCGGAGCUAAUACCGGAUGAUAUUUUGAACCGCAUGGUUCAAAAGUGAAAGACGGUCUUGCUGUCACUUAUAGAUGGAUCCGCGCUGCAUUAGCUAGUUGGUAAGGUAACGGCUUAGCAAGGCAACGAUGCAUAGCCGACCUGAGAGGGUGAUCGGCCACACUGGAACUGAGACACGGUCCAGACUCCUACGGGAGGCAGCAGUAGGGAAUCUUCCGCAAUGGGCGAAAGCCUGACGGAGCAACGCCGCGUGAGUGAUGAAGGUCUUCGGAUCGUAAAACUCUGUUAUUAGGGAAGAACAUAUGUGUAAGUAACUGUGCACAUCUUGACGGUACCUAAUCAGAAAGCCACGGCUAACUACGUG
rnacentral:rRNA from 1 species